CUGAGGUAGGCAUUGGAGUUAACAGUGGCUUUCUUUUCUACCUACUCUGGUGGAAGACUGAGCCUCUGAAAGCAACUCAUUCCUGUGAGAGGAGAGAGGUAACCUUCACUGAUUUUGUCUGUGCUUCUUUGGCUAGGCAGUGAAGUGAGUCCUGGGGAUGAGUGAACAACAACGCCCUGAAAUGGGACACCUGGGGCUGUCUGCUUGGUAGGAUCUAGUCCUCUCUACUGGUGUCAUGCCCUAGGGCUUCAAAGGAAUGUGAUCCUGAGGCUAACUCAGCCAACACCACCAAGGACAAGGUCAUCCUGGCUGAAACCACUGCUGUGGACUCAUCCCAGCUUUUAAUUGUGUGAUGAAUGCAAAAUGUAUGCAGAUCAUGAUCCCCUGCUUUUGUGACAUAAAUGAGGGACUCUGAUGUGGCCAUGAGGGACACAAAAAUCUUCAUGAGCAAUAUUUUUCUUAAAAUUUUGUUAUUCAAACUGAGUUCCAUAAUGUUGCUCUAUACUAUAUUCAGCAAAAUGUUACUUCAUA